GCAAUGUAUAUAAAUGUCUACAACUUCAGUAAUUUUCAAAGUCUAAUCUUGCUUAAUUACGUCAUACGUGACGUCACGAAACGUAUCACAAGCGGUACAACUGGCAAACACCGUUUUCACGAAGUGGCCUCUUACGCGCAAAUGUAGUCUGCUAUUGAUAAUCGUACACGAACCGGCUCCGCGAAGCCCUUGUCACAGAUGCCGGUGCUUCUGGCGGAAUUGUUAGAGGAAUCUGACAGCCCUAGAAUAGCCGGCUGAGAGGACCAUCACUAGCACUCCCAGUGGCUGAUGUCUAAGUAGGAGUUUGAUGUGGAGAGCUUUAAGCAUGUUGUUGAGUUUACCAGUAGAAUAGACAGCUGGGAUACGCAAGAGAUGAGGGACCACUAGCACCCCCAGUGGUUGAUGUCCAUGUAGGAGUUUGUGCAGCUGAUGUGGAGAGCUUUUAGCAAAUUGACAAGCAUCUUCACCCUCUGCCCUUGAACUGAUUGCUUUUCCAAUACCAUGGUUUAGAGGUCAGACCAAACGACUGACAGACCGACCGACUGAAUAGCUAAGUCCCCUCAGUCAUCAAAGGAUGGACAAAAAUACAGAAGUUAUUGUUAGGUGGGAUCGUGAUGGAGAGAUCAAUUGUGGCAAGAAACGAGAUCUU
rnacentral:lncRNA from 1 species